UACGAAUGAUAAGAUCCGUGGUCAAAAGGGAAACAGCCCAGAUCGUCAGCUAAGGUCCCAAAGUGUAAGUUAAGUGGGAAAGGAUGUGAGAUUUCUAAGACAACUAGGAUGUUGGCUUAGAAGCAGCCAUUCAUUAAAAGAGUGCGUAAUAGCUCACUAGUCGAGAGAUCUUGCGCCGAAAAUGUAACGGGGCUAAACUUACCACCGAAGCUACGGGCUUGAACUUAGUUCAAGCGGUAGGAGAGCGUCGUAACCGGGCUGAAGUCGUACCGUAAGGAGCGGUGGACUGGUUACGAGUGAGAAUGUUGGCAUCAGUAGCGAGAUGUGGGUGAGAAUCCCACAGGCCGAAAACCUAAGGUUUCCUCAGGAAGGUUCGUCCGCUGAGGGUUAGUCGGGACCUAAGCCGAGGCCGAAAGGCGUAGGUGAUGGACAACUGGUUGAUAUUCCAGUACCACUACCAUCGUUAUUAUCGAUGGCGUGACGCAGGAGGAUAGUGUGUGCUAGCUAUUGGAUGCUAGUCUAAGCGUUUAGGCAGUGAGAGUAGGCAAAUCCGCUCUCAUAAUGCUGAGGCGUGAUGGGGAAGGUUCCACGGAACCGAAGUACAUGAUUCCACGCUGCCAAGAAAAGCGUCUAGAGAGAGAAGUAGUGCCCGUACCGCAAACCGACACAGGUAGGUGAGGAGAGAAUCCUAAGGCCGGCGGAAGAAUUACAGUUAAGGAACUCGGCAAAUUGACCCCGUAAGUUCGCGAGAAGGGGUGCCUACGAGAGUAGGCCGCAGAGAAUAGGCCCAAGCAACUGUUUAGCAAAAACACAGGUCUCUGCUAAAGCGUAAGCUGAUGUAUAGGGGCUGACGCCUGCCCGGUGCUGGAAGGUUAAGGGGAACACUUAGCGCAAGCGAAGGUGUGAACUUAAGCCCCAGUAAACGGCGGCCGUAACUAUAACGGUCCUAAGGUAGCGAAAUUCCUUGUCAGGUAAGUUCUGACCCGCACGAAUGGCGUAAUGACUUGGGCACUGUCUCAACUGCAAAUCCGGCGAAGUUGUAGUGCGAGUGAAGAUGCUCGCUACCCGCGAUUGGACGGAAAGACCCCGUAGAGCUUUACUGCAGCUUAGCAUUGAAUUCCGGUAUUGUCUGUACAGGAUAGGUGGGAGACUGGGAAACUAGGGCGUCAGCCUUAGUGGAGUCAACCUUGGGAUACCACCCUGACAGUACUGGGGUUCUAACAGGACGCCAUGAAACUGGUGACUGGACAUUGUUAGGUGGGCAGUUUGACUGGGGCGGUCGCCUCCUAAAAAGUAACGGAGGCGCCCAAAGGUUCCCUCAGAACGGUCGGAAAUCGUUCGUAGAGUGCAAAGGCAAAAGGGAGCCUGACUGCGAGACCUACAAGUCGAGCAGGGACGAAAGUCGGGCUUAGUGAUCCGGUGGUACCUCGUGGGAGGGCCAUCGCUCAACGGAUAAAAGCUACCUCGGGGAUAACAGGCUGAUCUCCCCCAAGAGUCCACAUCGACGGGGAGGUUUGGCACCUCGAUGUCGGCUCGUCGCAUCCUGGGGCUGUAGUAGGUCCCAAGGGUUGGGCUGUUCGCCCAUUAAAGCGGCACGCGAGCUGGGUUCAGAACGUCGUGAGACAGUUCGGUCC
rnacentral:rRNA from 1 species